rnacentral:rRNA from 1 species
AGUGGCGGACGGGUGAGUAACGCGUGGGUAACCUGCCUCAUACAGGGGGAUAACAGUUAGAAAUGACUGCUAAUACCGCAUAAGACCACAGCACCGCAUGGUGCAGGGGUAAAAACUCCGGUGGUAUGAGAUGGACCCGCGUCUGAUUAGGUAGUUGGUGGGGUAACGGCUUACCAAGCCGACGAUCAGUAGCCGACCUGAGAGGGUGACCGGCCACAUUGGGACUGAGACACGGCCCAA